UCUUGUCUAAACCCCCCUACAGGAUGUAGUGUCAUCAUUACAGACUUCUGGAUACACGAUGGGAGGGGGAGUGAGUAGUUUCUUUCAGUUCUAAAACAGUGAUUCUCCAUUUUGUUAUACGUGGCAUAUAGCUGUUAACUGGCACAAAGGUAAUGGGGGAGGAGUUAGUAAAGGGAGUUGUUAUCACAGGAAUUUUGGUUACACAAGGUUUUAUUGAUUUGAAGGGGGGAGGCUAGCAGGAUGUGAGGAAUUUACAUAGUAAACAGCAGCUGAACACAUUGUAGGGGGGGAAGGGAAUAUUUACUCUAGAAGCCAGUUUUAACAUAGUGAACAGAGAAUAAAUAGACAUUAGUAAAUAGCCAUUUUAUUUUAAUUCAUCU